CAGCCUGCUGCCCUGACUGUGUGCCAACCAUUGUUUGUCAGCCAGGCAAACUUUUCCAGACCACAUGGAGGUCAGGAGGCAUCAGGCAUUUGUUUGUUUUCUCAGUUCAAUAUCUGACACCAACCACCAGCCUAACUUCCUAUCAACUCCUCCAACAAGUCAGUUUUCCUGCAUGAAUCAAGCAAGGCAGCACGAAUGAAUCCAUGUCCAGCUGUCAUUUUCUAUCCUGAUAUUUUUAGAUUCUUUCAAUGUGAGACUUCCUGGAAAUCUGGCAAACCAAAUGGCACAGAAAGAGCGGGGAUCACAGUUUCGAAGCAAACAGGAAGUAUGUGCAGGAUAUGUGUGGAGGUGCUGUUGCUUCUGACCACAGCGAAACAAGAAAGACACAACAGGGACCCAGACAGGACCCACAGCAAUGUCUGGGUUCAACGUAACCGUUCACAUUUUGUGCUACAACAUGAAAAUGGUGUGGCUGUCCUGCAGCUGUAUACAAAAGACAGUCAUGGUUCAGCUGGCAGCUGCCCAGGAACCAGGACAGAAGGAAGCUGUGGUCUGCACAUUCCUCCUCAGCAUCUAAUAGCAGUGAUGACAGCGGGGAGCACAGAGCACUAGCAAUAACCUGGCCAUUGUGCGUCUGACAUGAGCAGGUGUGCUGCAGCUCCUGAUGGUCCCACCCCUUCCUCAUGGUGCUUAGAGAAUGCAGCGAGUGGAUUUAAUCAAUUAGUUUUCCUGGGUGCUGUGACUCAACAGCUUCUCUGUGGGCUGUAUGUGUAGUCUCCGAUGUCUUUAAAUUGAGUAUCUUACCCUUUUAUUAGGUUAUAUAAACUGGGCAAAAUGAGUGCUUCUCAUCGUAUCAAUGCAUAAAUAAUAAAGAGGAUCACCAGGAGCAAAUAAGCCCAGAGGGAACUGCUUUUUUUGUACUGCAUUCAUGCUAUUGACUCAUUUAAACCUACUGAUCAGGUUCAAAACCUGAACUUCACAAUAUAAAAACAAAUUAAUCAAUAAAAAUAAAAUAACAGAACAAUGGUUCCUUAACUUUUGUCAUAUAUACAGUACUG